AGCAGUAGCCGCGGUAAUACGGAGGGUGCAAGCGUUAAUCGGAAUUACUGGGCGUAAAGCGUGCGUAGGUGGUGGUUUAAGUCCGUUGUGAAAGCCCUGGGCUCAACCUGGGAAUUGCAGUGGAUACUGGGUCACUAGAGUGUGGUAGAGGAUAGUGGAAUUUCCGGUGUAGCAGUGAAAUGCGUAGAGAUCGGAAGGAACAUCUGUGGCGAAGGCGACUAUCUGGGCCAACACUGACACUGAGGCACGAAAGCGUGGGGAGCAAACAGGAUUAGAUACCCCCGUAGUCCCUGUCUCUUAUAC
rnacentral:rRNA from 1 species